UACGUAGGGAGCAAGCGUUGUUCGGAUUUACUGGGCGUAAAGGGCGCGUAGGCGGCGCGGUAAGUCACUUGUGAAAUCUCUGAGCUUAACUCAGAACGGCCAAGUGAUACUGCAGUGCUAGAGUGCAGAAGGGGCAAUCGGAAUUCUUGGUGUAGCGGUGAAAUGCGCAGAUAUCAGGAGGAACACCGGUGGCGAAGGCGGUUCUCUGGGCAUGUCCUGACGCUGAGGAGCGAAAGUGUGGGGAGCGAACAGG
rnacentral:rRNA from 1 species